GAUUAACGCGAAGAACCUUACCUACCCUUGACAUGUCCGGAAGGCUGCUGAAAGGCGGCUGUGCCCGAAAGGGAACUGGAACACAGGUGCUGCAUGGCUGUCGUCAGCUCGUGUCGUGAGAUGUUGGGUUAAGUCCCGCAACGAGCGCAACCCUUGUCAUUAGUUGCUACAUUCAGUUGGGCACUCUAAUGAGACUGCCGGUGACAAACCGGAGGAAGGUGGGGAUGACGUCAAGUCCUCAUGGCCCUUAUGGGUAGGGCUUCACACGUAAUACAAUGGCGCGUACAGAGGGCCUGCUAAGCCGCGAGGUAGAGCCAAUCCCUUAAAGCGCGUCGUAGUCCGGAUUGCAGUCUGCAACUCGACUGCAUGAAGUCGGAAUCGCUAGUAAUCGCGGAUCAGCAUGUCGCGGUGAAUACGUUCCCGGGCCUUGUACACACCGAAUC
rnacentral:rRNA from 1 species